UACCGGCGGCUCGAGUGGUGGCCGCUAUUACUGGGCUUAAAGCGUUCGUAGCUGGGCUGUUAAGUCCCCUGGGAAAUCCACCGGCUCAACCGAUGGGCGUUCAGGGGAUACUGGCAGCCUAGGGACCGGGAGAGGUGAGGGGUACUCCAGGGGUAGGAGUGAAAUCCUGUAAUCCUUGGGGGACCACCUGUGGCGAAGGCGUCUCACUAGAACGGCUCCGACAGUGAGGAACGAAAGCUGGGGGAGCAAACCGG
rnacentral:rRNA from 1 species